rnacentral:rRNA from 1 species
GCCUGCAUGAAGUCGGAAUCGCUAGUAAUCGCGGAUCAGCAUGCCGCGGUGAAUACGUUCCCGGGCCUUGUACACACCGCCCGUCACACCACGAGAGUUUACAACACCCGAAGUCGGUGAGGUAACCGCAAGGAGCCAGCCGCCGAAGGUGGGGUAGAUGAUUGGGGUGAAGUCGUAACAAGGUAUCCGUACCGGAAGGUGCGGAUGGAUCACCUCCUUUCUAGGGAGA